rnacentral:pre_miRNA from 1 species
AGCAGGGGCGCCAGCAGGAGGUGCUUGUUCUCAUGUCUGCCCCUGCUGAGGUUCUGCUUC